rnacentral:rRNA from 1 species
CUAUGCGCCUUGCCAGCCCGACUCAGAAACUUAAAGGAAUUGACGGGGGCCCGCACAAGCGGUGGAGCAUGUGGUUUAAUUCGAUGAUACGCGAGGAACCUUACCUGGGCUCAAAUGUAUGUUGACGUAUUCUGAAAGGGAUACUUCUUCGGACAAUAUACAAGGUGCUGCAUGGUUGUCGUCAGCUCGUGCCGUGAGGUGUCGGGUUAAGUCCCAUAACGAGCGCAACCCCUAUCAUUAGUUGCCAUCAGGUCAAGCUGGGGACUCUAAUGAAACUGCCUACGCAAGUAGUGAGGAAGGUGGGGAUGACGUCAAAUCAGCACGGCCCUUACGUCCAGGGCUACACACGUGUUACAAUGGCCAGUACAGAGGGCAGCCACCCCGCGAGGGGGCGCUAAUCCUAAAAGCUGGUCCCAGUUCGGAUCGGAGUCUGCAACCCGACUCCGUGAAGCUGGAUUCGCUAGUAAUCGCGCAUCAGCCACGGCGCGGUGAAUACGUUCCCGGGCCUU